rnacentral:misc_RNA from 1 species
AACCUUAUGGACCUGCGGGCGUAUACCUGCGGAAGGAUCAUUAUAGAGUUUUCUAAACUCCCAAACCCAUGUGAACUUACCAUUGUUGCCUCGGCAGAACCUACCCGGUACCUACCCUGGAACUAGCUACCCUGUAGCUACCCAGGAACGGACUACCCUGUAACGUCCUGCCGGUGGACUUCUAAACUCUUGUUAUUUAUAGUAAUCUGAGCGUCUUAUUUUAAUAAGUCAAAACUUUUA